UCAUGAGGGUGCUAUACAUGCAAGUCGAGCGAACGGACGAGAAGCUUGCUUCUCUGAUGUUAGCGGCGGACGGGUGAGUAACACGUGGAUAACCUACCUAUAAGACUGGGAUAACUUCGGGAAACCGGAGCUAAUACCGGAUAAUAUUUUGAACCGCAUGGUUCAAAAGUGAAAGACGGUCUUGCUGUCACUUAUAGAUGGAUCCGCGCUGCAUUAGCUAGUUGGUAAGGUAACGGCUUACCAAGGCAACGAUGCAUAGCCGACCUGAGAGGGUGAUCGGCCACACUGGAACUGAGACACGGUCCAGACUCCUACGGGAGGCAGCAGUAGGGAAUCUUCCGCAAUGGGCGAAAGCCUGACGGAGCAACGCCGCGUGAGUGAUGAAGGUCUUCGGAUCGUAAAACUCUGUUAUUAGGGAAGAACAUAUGUGUAAGUAACUGUGCACAUCUUGACGGUACCUAAUCAGAAAGCCACGGCUAACUACGUGCCAGCAGCCGCGGUAAUACGUAGGUGGCAAGCGUUAUCCGGAAUUAUUGGGCGUAAAGCGCGCGUAGGCGGUUUUUUAAGUCUGAUGUGAAAGCCCACGGCUCAACCGUGGAGGGUCAUUGGAAACUGGAAAACUUGAGUGCAGAAGAGGAAAGUGGAAUUCCAUGUGUAGCGGUGAAAUGCGCAGAGAUAUGGAGGAACACCAGUGGCGAAGGCGACUUUCUGGUCUGUAACUGACGCUGAUGUGCGAAAGCGUGGGGAUCAAACAGGAUUAGAUACCCUGGUAGUCCACGCCGUAAACGAUGAGUGCUAAGUGUUAGGGGGUUUCCGCCCCUUAGUGCUGCAGCUAACGCAUUAAGCACUCCGCCUGGGGAGUACGACCGCAAGGUUGAAACUCAAAGGAAUUGACGGGGACCCGCACAAGCGGUGGAGCAUGUGGUUUAAUUCGAAGCAACGCGAAGAACCUUACCAAAUCUUGACAUCCUUUGACAACUCUAGAGAUAGAGCCUUCCCCUUCGGGGGACAAAGUGACAGGUGGUGCAUGGUUGUCGUCAGCUCGUGUCGUGAGAUGUUGGGUUAAGUCCCGCAACGAGCGCAACCCUUAAGCUUAGUUGCCAUCAUUAAGUUGGGCACUCUAAGUUGACUGCCGGUGACAAACCGGAGGAAGGUGGGGAUGACGUCAAAUCAUCAUGCCCCUUAUGAUUUGGGCUACACACGUGCUACAAUGGACAAUACAAAGGGCAGCGAAACCGCGAGGUCAAGCAAAUCCCAUAAAGUUGUUCUCAGUUCGGAUUGUAGUCUGCAACUCGACUACAUGAAGCUGGAAUCGCUAGUAAUCGUAGAUCAGCAUGCUACGGUGAAUACGUUCCCGGGUCUUGUACACACCGCCCGUCACACCACGAGAGUUUGUAACACCCGAAGCCGGUGGAGUAACCUUUUAGGA
rnacentral:rRNA from 1 species